rnacentral:pre_miRNA from 1 species
GAUUUCAACUGAAAAAGUCAUCAACAAUAAAAUUGUAUAACUCAUCCAGAUCUAUAACUUUUAUUUUGAUCAUUUCUUUAUCCGAUGAAGUGAUAGUAACAUUGUUCACAAAAUUUACAUAUCUCUCAUAUGGUUUAUAACUAUAAAAGAGAUAUACAAAUUUUGUGAACAAUUUUACUAUAACUUUGUCGGAUGAAGAAAUGAUCAAAAUAAAAAUUGUAUGUCUUGAUGUGUUCUACAACUUUUAUGUUCAUGACUUUUUCAGGUGAAAUU